rnacentral:rRNA from 2 species
GGUUAAGAAAUUAAGGGCGCACGGAGAAUGCCUUGGUAGUAAGAGCCGAUGAAGGACGUGAUAAGCUGCGAUAAGCUAAGACAAGCUGCAAUUGAGCGUAAUAGUCUUAGAUUUCCGAAUGG